rnacentral:hammerhead_ribozyme from 1 species
AUCCAGCUGACGAGUCUAAAGCAGGAUGAAACAUGCGUUCUAGAU